rnacentral:rRNA from 1 species
UAAUGCGAUUUUGCGAAAGCAAAGUCACUCAAUUUAGCAUUAAUCGGUGCAGCGUUACAAACUCUAGUGUUUAGUAGUAUCAAUUGGUUGUGUGUUAGCAAUAAUGCAUAACCAGAUUUAGCUUAGGAUAUAAGUCCCAUUGACUUGGGCUUAUCCAUAAACAAUUGAGAUGACUAUAAUAUUGGGUGCGUUUACGCGUGCUUGAUAUUAUGGUUGAGCCAUAGAGGGUGAAAGUCCCUUAUUGUCCAGGCAUUGAUGCUACGAACUAGAGAGUCAUCGCAUUUAUGCAAUGACGCUUUGUUAGAGUCGGGUUGCUUGAGAGUGCAACCUAAAGAGCGAGGUAAACUGCUCGUAAGGCUAUUUAGCAAUAUCGCUAUGACACCGAUAGCAAACAAGUACCGUGAGGGAAAGUUGCAAAGUACUUUGAAGAGAGAGUUAAACAGGGCGUGAAACCGCUAGCUGGUAAACGAGUGGAGCCACGAAGUCGUUUCGUAGAACAAAAGAGUUUACAAAUUCAGUUAAUGUUGUCAACAGCAGCAUUAAUGCAUUUUUGUCUACUCUUCUAUGUAUGCGUACACUGCAACCAAUUAGACAAUUAAUUGUGGAAAAAAUUAUGCAUAUAUGCUUAAUAACAUGUAUGUAUAAUGCAAAUGCUUAUAUAUUUAGUAUAGGUUGCCUGAUUUAGCUUAGGCUUUAUUGGGUGUAUGAUACUCUAAAUAUGAGAACUACAAUUAAAUACUGAUUGGCAAAAUGAAAAUCCAUCUUUACCGAUGGUUGCUAGAUAAUACUGUUUGUAUUGUAAGUAGGUACAAGUAUGUAAUGUUAGUAUUAAGCUUGAUAGUUUUAAAUUUAGGCUUGCAGGCUAUCUUUGAUUUCACGAUCAUUGAUGUUUGUAUAGUUUCCUAUCUAAUUGGCUAUUGACUUUAUUAGCAUUGACAAUAUUUGCAAAUGAUUGCCCUAUUUUGCGAUAAUUAACAUGUUAUUUUAUUGGCAGUGAGUAGGUCGGCUUUCCACACGACCC